rnacentral:sRNA from 1 species
AACAAAGCGAAAGGAGGUGUCUCAGUGUCUAGAGAAACAUUGGAGAGAGGUGUCGGAACAGUUUGGAGGACCGCGCCCUAGGGCAGCCCCUAAGGUGAAGUUCAACCGGAUUGGUGUGUGCCUAACCGGCCCCACCUCCUUAUUCUCGAAGGGCCGUCCACAAUUGGGCGGCCCU